rnacentral:lncRNA from 1 species
CUCUUGACUUUUUAUCAAUAAUGGUCAGAACUACAGCAAUUACUUUAUUAUUCUACAGUAUUUUAGUGUAUUUUAUGAGCUGAAAACGCUGAACUUUGACCUGGCCUAUCGUCAUUUACCUCUAGCUGUAUUAGCUGCCGUUGUCACUUUUAUAGUAUUUUUACACCACACACUGAGUCAACCUCUUUCAUGUCCUCCAGACCAUCAGACUUCUUUCUCCGCCCACUAAUGAGGUUACCUGGUUAGGAGGGAAGCUAUAAAUGCAUGACUCCGCUCUGAGAACAACACAAGAGGACCCAAAUCUGUCUCUCCUGCCAGUUCAAGGGUCCUGCCCUGUGAAUUCUGCACCAGCUACUGCUCAUAGCUUAUUCUUCAACUCCUCAAAGACUGAGAGUAUUAGCAACGAGGGAGUAGCUAAGAAGCUGCCGUUAAGGGAUCAGCCAUGGUUGGAGGCAUCCACAAGGAUUUUCUGGUCGCAGUGGCUCUACUCUUUUUCACUCAAACACAGACUCAGUGCAGGGCUGAGAAUGAAAUGUUAGUUACUUUACCAGACUGGAGGACAAAUUCAGGAUAUGUCACUCAAUGUUCCUACGACAGGAACACAGACUCAAUCUGUGACUGGACAAGGAGACAGGAAAUAACAGAGGACAUUACAGUGGAUAUUUUAGAGAGUGGUCCACUGGGUGUGGAGGAUGAGGCCUGUCUAGAGUUCUGGUACCGGGCCCCAGCUGCAGCCAAUGGCUCAGAACACAGAGCUCUGCUGAAAAGCAGUGCAGGCCUGGUAGAAAUCUGGACCUCUCCUGCCAAUCCCAGAAAUGUAUGGAGCCAAGUGUUUGUCCCCUUAAACGUCACUGAACCAGCCACUCAGGUGGUACUGGAGGAAAGGUCCACUGAUGAACAGGUGACAUAUAGACAGAUAGGCGUAAGAAGAGGCUUUUGUGGUACGUAUUCUAUUAGAAAUGUGGUUGCUCUGAUUGUUCACUAGCUUAGUGUGUAAUCCACACAGCACGGGCACUGACCGUAGUCAUUCCUCGUGCCCCGUAGGUCCCCAGUGUGAGUCCAACACAGAGUUAUGGACAGACGAGUCCACUCAUUGCCUCUGCUCUGCUGGACAUCUGUCCUGCUCCCCAUCUCGGUGCCCUGAGGGCCACGUGUGUGGUCCUCAAAGAGGCGGCUCCAGUGAGACCUCCGCCUCGGGGACGUGCACUAUACAUGCGCACACCGAAUGCAGCACCUUUGAUGGAGUGCUGUUUCGCUUCAUGGCUCCCUGCACCUACGUACUGGCUAAGACCUGCUCACCCGCCGAGGGCCUGCCCCCGUUCAGCGUGGAAGUGGUUUAUGAGCAGAGCGGGAACUCUUCUGUGACGACUGUGCAGCAGGUCUCUGUGAGCACAAGGGCGUUCAGAUUGUCCCUGCUGAACGAGGAGACGCAUCGGGUCGUGGUAAGAGGAAAGAUACAGUAGGCAGGCACACUGUGUGUAGCAUGAAAGGUUUCCCACUAAGUUACAUCAAGUUGUCUCAUAAAUUGAGAGAAGUGUCUGCAUUUACAACCAUAAGGUUAUAAAUUGUUCUUAAUAUGAUACAAGCCAAAACA